rnacentral:rRNA from 2 species
UACGUGAAACCGUUCAGGGGUAAACGGGAGAAAUCCUGAAUUCGAAAGGGGUUGGAUUCAUGUCCUGCCGUUUGUAAACUAGGCCGUUCCGCUGUAGAUGGUGCCGGUCGCCCGCGGCGAUUAAUUUCGUUUGCGGUGUCGUUUCUGGCGUCCACUCGGUGGUGGCUGGCCACCCUCGCGGAGGACUGCACUUCUCCCCUAGUAGAAACGUCGCGACCCGUUGGGUGCCGGCCAAAGGCCUGGGUAGGCAGCCCGCGCGUCCUGUGGUUGCUGCCACAAGCGAGCGGACUCCUGGUGACCCGGCCGGCUGCCCGACGGUAUGACCAGAGGAGUCGAUCCGCUGAAAGGGAAACACUGUGGUUGUGAAGCGUGUGGCCUGGCACCGAUACGUGUGGGGAUUGAGGUGUAAACCGGGGGUUCCCGUGCGAAGCACGGUCCCGGCCCUGCUGCGUUGUCGGUUGCCGGUGUCCUCGCACUGGAUCGAUACUCCCGUCUGCGACGCCCACCUUCGGAUGG